AAGGGUUACAGCUACUGGGGCUCAGCAGCCUCGAACUUCACUUACUCCCCGCCUCUAAAGUGUUUCACAAACACCUUGCCUGCACAGCUAGGACUCUGCCACUGGCCCGCUGGUACUUGAGAGUGCCCUGCGCCAACCCCGGAUGCCAUCUUUCUUGGGCUCUUUGCGUCUUGAAUACUUUUUAUGAGUUUUGCAUUCUGAUCACGUCCUUGUGUCUUUGAAAACUUCCCCCAACUUUGUAAGGAGACGAGAAUCGUCUGGUAGGGACCCUUAGUUUUCUUCAACUUGAACUGACAAAACCCAGCACUAUUUACAAGUCACUCAGGACUUCGGUCUCCCCGCCCAGAGCCUGCCUGUAUCCGGAUUACCCUUCGUGCUCCCAGAGAGCAAAACCCGGUGCCCCUUGGCAGAUCCCCAGCCCUGAGUGCCGCGCCUGCGGGCAAGCGUCCGGAAGGCUGAUCCCGGUAGAGCUCUGAGCUCUUUCUCCAGCACCAUGCUUGCGUGUGUGCCGUCACGCUACCCGAUAUGACUACAACGGACUAAACCUCUGAAGCUGUAAGCCAGCACCAAUUAAAUGUUUCCCUCUCUAAGAGUUGUUUUGAUCAUGGCGUCUCUUUCUAGCAGGAGAACUUCGACUAAGACAAGGUGAUUGGAUCUGGAGUCAACUAAGAGAGAUUCCUUUUGCCUGGGUCUGUGAGACAUUUCCAGGAAGGAUUAAAGACUCUCCUCUAGCAAGUAGCAUCUUCCUGGGUCAGCCCAGAUAUAAAGAUGUCUGAGGGAAAUGCGGGGCUGCAUGCUUCCCUGACUACACUUCUUGCUGGUUAGUGUAUCUACUCCAUUGCUGCUGCCAUCAUCCUUUGUUGAUGGCAGACUUCAGCGUCUCCAGUCUUCCAACAUGGACUAGGACUCUUCAAGGCCUUCACUGGAAGAUCGUGAUGACCAAGGCAUCCAGCUUUGUGAACCAUGCAGCUAUUGGCUUCUCAGCCUAACAGAGCAGAGACAGCCAUUGUUGAACUACUCAGCCCCUACUGUGUGAGCUGAUCUAAUAAAUAUCCUUUUAAAAAACACAUAGUUACUCUAUCAGUUUUUUUUUCUCUAGGGAAUCCCUCAUACAGCAUUAAAUCCGUUUGGUGCCCACUCAGCCUCCUGCCUCUGCUCAAUAGCUAUUUUCUUAGAAGAAACCCUUCCCUCACUGUGGAAUCAAACCCUCAUAUUCAAAGUUUUUGUUCCGCUGCCUCCCUUGUAUCAGAGCUGGGUUUUUACAUUUAACUCAUGGUUUUUCAAAAGCUAAUAGGCUGGUUCCACGAAGGCAGUCUAUGUAGUUUUGGACCAUUUUUAUAUUCUUUUUGUCUAAUAACUUGCUUGUCAGUUAAUGAACAUUCAGUGACUAUUUGGCUACUGGAUAACUACACAGAUGUAACAAGAACGUAAUGUUUUUUUUUUUUUUUAACAUAACAGUGUCAUUUUUAAGUCAACCAAAAGUUAAGCUUUACUAUCUCUCCAGGGUACUGGAUACAUAACUGUCCCAUUUCUGUUGCUUUAACUGACUACUCCAGGUAACUUAUAAAGGAGUUUUUGAUCAUGGUUUUGGAGGCUGGUGUAUGGCUCUGGGGUCACUCUGAGAUUCACCAUGACCAUAAAUAAAAUCUAAUAAGAAGAGGCUUUAUUAAAUACUGGUGCUGGAUACUCAUGGCACCAGGGCUGCAACCAAGAGAGCAACCAAGAUACAGCACCUGGCCAUAUCAGUUCCAAGGCUUAUAAAGUCAGGAGCUACAAGAUUACAUAUAUCCUCUAACAUAUAUGUCUUGAGGUUGUCCUAGUCACUGAGUAGAGUAAGCAAGUUUGAUGACAAAAGCAGAAAUAGCAGUUAGUCUUAUGACCUUGCUAGAAGAGCACAUUUUACAAGAUCAGUCAGUUUUAGAAUAGUCUUAGCUGGGCAGUGGUGGUGCAAGCCUUUAAUCCCAGCACUCAGGAAGCAGAGACAGGGAGUUCUCUGAGUUUGAGGCCACCCUGGUCUAUGGAAUGAGUUCUAGAACAGUCAGAAACCCUGUCUCGAAAAACCUCUUGUGAGGACCUUCUUGCUGGUGAGGACUCUCAUGAUGUCACAUGUAUAGAGAGGCACAAAUAAGAGUGAGGUUAGUCACCCCCUUCUCCCCACCCCCACCCCGUUUAUAGUAUUGGGAAUCAAACCCAGGAUUUUGCACAUGCUAGGCAUGUUACCUACCACAAAGCUUCAUCCCCAGCCCAAAGUGGCUUUUAUAAUACAUCCAGUCUGAAGAUAAUCCAUUAAUCAACUAAUGGAAAUGGACCUAUUAUUAGGGGUAGAGCCUCCAUGGCCUAAUCACUUCCUAAAGGUCCUACCUGUUAAUACUUCACAAUAAAGAUUAAAUUUCAACCUAAGGGUGUGCGUGUAUGUGUGUUCGUGUGUGUUCGUGUGUGUGUGUGUGUGUGUGUGUGUGUGUGUGUGUGUGUGUGCAUGUGAGCACACAACUGUAUGCAUAGACCAAGGGUCAGCAUCAGUAUCUUCUUCAUUUGCUCUUCACUUUAUUUUUGAAAUUCGGCUAGACUGGGACUCUGUAUGGGGACUAAGCUGUACUUCUUAGUUUGGAAUGUGUGAGUUUAUUAAGUACAUAGUAAACAAGAGUUAAAAGAAACAAAGAGUAAGUAGCAGACAGAAACAACAUGUAGACAGCAAAAUAUCAUCACACCAGAUGUUUCCAGCACCCAGUGGAGAUGACUGGGGAGGCCCUUCUGGAACGGUUGUGCCGAAGUUCUUUUUGAAAAAACAAACAAACAAACAAACAAACAAACCCUUUUUCAUUUUAUUUUAUAUGUUUGCUGUUUGGCCUACACGUAUGUCUGCAUAUCUGUAUGUUUGGCACGCGGUGCCCACAGAUGGCAGAAGAUGGUUGCAUUCUCUGGAACCGGAGUUAUAGACAGCUGAGCACUGUUUAUUAUGAGGAUGCUGGGAAAUGUAAGUGGGUCCUCUGGAAGAUCAGCCGGUGCUCUUAGUCACCGAAGCAUCCCUCCAGGCCCAAUGUUGAAGCUCGUAACAGUGAUUUCCAGACCGGCAGAGCUAUCUCUCCAUGCAGGAGCUUCUACCUUCUUGUUCCCACUAAGUCUUUAUACCUUUGACAGACAACAGUAAUCUCUGUUGGAAAAGAUUUCUCCUCUAGCUGCUCUAAAGAACACAACGGUUUUUUUGUUUCUUUUUUUCCUCAAAUGAUUCACUCCUCUCCUGUUUUCCAGGGCACCAUGUGUUAACUCCUGGAAUGUUCGACUCUUUUCCUUUCUCUCUGCUGCGGAGGCAGCCUGUCCCAUGAAAGAAUGUUUGAAAGGACAUUUGCAUUAAACAUGCUUGUGGUCUAAGACAUGGUAGCCGGUCUUGUCCUUAGAGUCAGUUCUCGGCAGUCACAGACAGUACAUGACAAUUUCCUGGUAUAAUUUGUAUUAUAACUGGCUGGCCAGUAAGCCUGGGGGAUCUCAUCUCUGCCUCCCCUUGCCCUGUGGGAGGCACACUCCACAGCAUGCCAGGCUUCUCAUGUGAACCCCAGGGUCCCAAACUCAGGUCCUCAUGCUGUGCAGCAAGUGUUUUACCAACUGAGACACACACCACCAGCUCCCAACCUGAAUUUUGGGAAGAAUAUUUAAUUCCAUUUAAACCAUAGUAAUAAGUUGAAAAGCUGGACAGUUUUAAAAGUUUUUUUAUGCAUGUGGCUAAAUUAGCCACAUUAAUACUUGAAUUUUUAGUAACAGACUCUAUUGCCUUGCCUAUUUGCCUAUCUGCCACUGUACCGAGAAAGAAAAACAUAAAUUCAAAAGAAAAGAGUUCUUUUCCCAUGUAACUACUCUUCAAGGCACUCUUUUGGAGGAUAGAGUUUAAUUUGUAUCUCAACUUAAAUAAGUGGAUAAAUAGCAGCCCAAAAUAGGUGGUUCGUGGUUUGUGUCUCUAUCUCCAUGAACAUGUACACAUACAAGUGAAAUAGCAUUGCCUACCAGCAUCUCAGCUUCACAUUUCCACCUUAAAAGAGUGAACUUCCAGAGGGCAACAGAGAGCACGAAUAAACAGGACAUAUGUGGGAACUGAGUGCCAAAGACACGAAACAAACUGAUGUCUUCUCCUUCCCAAAGAUGCUGGAACUCUUCUGUGUUCUUGGAUCUGUCCACUCUAACAGGUGGAUGAUUUUAGUCUUUCUGGAAUGCUCCUUUUGGCUGAUGAAAAAAAUUGCAGACUAGAAUAGCAGCAGCAGAUUAACACCUAGUUUCAGGAUUGAUAACAGCAUGUCAAUGUUCUCUUCUCCCCAUAAGCCAAGAUUUUUUUCCCUUGGGAGAAUUAAAGGGGGGCAUUAAGGGUUAUUUUAAUACCAUUUAGCAAAGUAAUAGGGAUGGGUUCUCCCCUAAGAUCCAUGACCUAUCUAGCUACCGGGUCUGGACCUCUUUAACACUAGUGUCAGGUAUAGAUUCCAUCUCAUAGCGUGGGCCCCUCAUCCAAUCUGGAAGUGGUCCGUUACUUCCACAGCAUUUGUACCCCUAUUCCCCAGUGAGCCUAUCUUGUUGGGUCACUCACUGUUAUAACUUCCAGGGUUCAAAGCUGGGUGAGACUGAAAUUUAUUUUUUCCUUCUAGCACCUUCCAGUACGAGAGAUGCUAGCCAGUAGGGAUGAAGAUGGAAGGUGAGUACCAGCUUGAUGUUUCCAUGUUCUGUGAUUCAGGAAUGUGGUGUCUUCAGCAAUAAGGUCUUACUGGCACGGUCUGGAUGGUGACCAGGAGUAUUGGCAAUAACCUGCAAUGUUACGGGAUCAUUGUGACACCAUUGGCCAACAACUCAAAAAGAAGUAACUCAUUCCCAGGAUGUGACCUCUGGAAAACUCACCACACACCAGAGCAGGCUGUAAUCCCAGGACAAGAUGGACAACACAAACUGGACUUGAUAGAGAAAGAAAAGAGAGAGAGAGAGAGAGAGAGAGAGAGAGAGAGAGAGAGAGAGAGAGAGAGAGAGAAAAGAAGAACGAAUCUCAAAGAUAAAUGGGAAAGGAUGGGAAGGUUGAGAAGGGUGGGGAGUAUGUUCAAAAUAAA